rnacentral:rRNA from 1 species
UACGUAGGGUCCGAGCGUUGUCCGGAAUUACUGGGCGUAAAGAGCUCGUAGGUGGUUUGUCGCGUUGUUCGUGAAAACUCACAGCUCAACUGUGGGCGUGCGGGCGAUACGGGCAGACUUGAGUACUGCAGGGGAGACUGGAAUUCCUGGUGUAGCGGUGGAAUGCGCAGAUAUCAGGAAGAACACCCGUGGCUAAGGCGGCUCUCUAGUACGGUACUGACGCUGAGACGCGAAAGCGUGGGGAGCGAACAGG